rnacentral:siRNA from 1 species
GACCACUGUACAAAUGAUGCAUCU